CGUACCGAUGUGCGCAUGCUCGCAUUGAGGCACAGGUAACGAAGGAGCCUGUUGUUCACAUCCUGCCAGCAACAGGGGAGGACUGCCAACAGCCCAGGAGCUCAUUCCAGAGCCACACAGACGCACACAUGCUCACCAUGUCAGCUCUGUAGUAGCAGUAAAGAGCAAGAGGAAGCAAAAGCAUCUGUUUGGAGCUGCUUAAGGUCACACCGGGAUGGUACCUGCUAGAGGCCGGACCCCAGGCUAGCUUCUAGUCAUGCAGAAGGAGGGAAGCAACUUUCCAUCCGAUCAAUGUGUGCUCUGAAAACAAAGAGGCUGUUUGGGAACCCAGACUGAAAGCAACACUCUAUCAUGGGAAGCCAUGGCGAACACGUGAUGUUUGAGCCGGAGGACAGGAGGCCAUGACGAGCAUGUGAUGUGGGAGCCCGUGAGAGGACCGGCAGUGGGAAGGGAAGAGCUCACGAGUGGUGAGCAUGUGGUCUGGGGAAAGAGAGGGAGGACACAGGAUGCAAGAGUCUGAGGGAAAACCAAUUCUGAUGGAGCUUAGAAAGCAGAGGAGAAAAGGCAGUCCCAUCAAGUAGGAGGCCUUCCUCAGUUUUGCAGCUGGAAUUGGACUCUCUGAGAUUUCCCUCCAGUUCACAGGUAAAUGUGUGAUGUUUAUAAUGUUACCUAAGGGAAACAUCUACUCCAGCCUCACCCCUGAUGGGCUGAUUCCUUACCCAGGAACUUUUCUGACUCAGACUCAGGGACGUUCCUUAGGGCACUGUGGACAAGAGGAUCCUUUCACAGCCCAGAGACCAAGUGAAAAAUGUGCCUGGGCUCCAGCCAUACUGCAACACUGGCCUGAGUUCAAUAACUAAAGCCCCCAUAAUUGAAACGAAACACAAGCAAACAAAUCGUAUGUUGUAACUCGGUAGGAACAAAUUGUGUGGGCGUGGGCUUAGUUCAAGUCUUAUUGUUUAGCAUUUUGUAAUUAACUCAUGUGGCCCUCACCCUGUGCACAGAAGUUAUUUGGCUGCUAACUUUGGGGGUGUUCUUCCCGGACUUUCCCUUCAAGGUUACUCUCUCAGGAGAUUGAAAACAGCCAGUCAGUCUUCGGCCUGCCUUCCGUGCUCCUCCACCUGCCCUCUGUGCUCCCCCACCUGCCUUCCGUGCUCCUCCACCUGCCCUCUGUGCUCCCCCACCUGCCUCUGUGCUCCCCCACCUGCCUUCCAUGCUCCUCCACCUGCCCUCUGUGCUCC